UCGGCCCGUUAGCUCAGUUGGUUAGAGCGUCGUGCUAAUAACGCGAAGGCAGUCGUGGGUCUGAUCCUCACGGGCCAAG